AGUGAACGCUGGCGGUAGGCCUAACACAUGCAAGUCGAACGGCAGCACAGUAAGAGCUUGCUCUUACGGGUGGCGAGUGGCGGACGGGUGAGGAAUACAUCGGAAUCUACUUUUUCGUGGGGGCUAACGUAGGGAAACGUACGCUAAUACCGCAUACGACCUACGGGUGAAAGCAGGGGAUCUUCGGACCUUGCGCGAGUGAAUGAGCCGAUGUCGGAUUAGCGAGUUGGCGGGGUAAAGGCCCACCAAGGCGACGAUCCGUAGCUGGUCUGAGAGGAGGAUCAGCCACACUGGAACUGAGACACGGUCCAGACUCCUACGGGAGGCAGCAGUGGUGAAGAUUGGACAAUGGGCGGAAGCCUGCUCCAGCCAUGCCGCGUGGUUGAAGAAGGCCUUCGUGUUGUAAAGCCCUUUUUUUGGGAAAGAAAAGCAGCAGGUUAAUACCCCGCUGGUCUGAUGUUACCCAGAGAAUAAGCACCGGCUAACUUCGUG
rnacentral:rRNA from 1 species